rnacentral:rRNA from 1 species
AGUGAACGCUGGCGGUAGGCCUAACACAUGCAAGUCGAACGGCAGCACAGUAAGAGCCUGCUCUUACGGGUGGCGAGUGGCGGACGGGUGAGGAAUACAUCAGAAUCUACUUUUUCGUGGGGGAUAGCGUAGGGGAAAUUUACGUUAUUACGGCAUAGGACUUACGGUUGAAAGAAGGGGAUCUUCGGACCUGGCGGGAUUGAUUAGGCGGAUGUCGGAUUAGCUAGUUGGCGGGGUAAAGGCCCACCAAGGCGACGAUCCGUAGCUGGUCUGAGAGGAUGAUCAGCCACACUGGAACUGAGACACGGUCCAGACUCCUACGGGAGGCAGCAGUGGGGAAUAUUGGACAAUGGGCGCAAGCCUGAUCCAGCCAUACCGCGUGGGUGAAGAAGGCCUUCGGGUUGUAAAGCCCUUUUGUUGGGAAAGAAAAGCAGCAGGUUAAUACCCCGCUGUUCUGACGGUACCCAAAGAAUAAGCACCGGCUAACUUCGUG